rnacentral:rRNA from 1 species
GACGAACGCUGGCGGUGUGCUUAACACAUGCAAGUGGUGCGACGAACCAGAGCUUGCUCUGGGGCAAAGCCGCGAACGGGUGAGUAACACGUGGGUAAUCUACCCCGAUGACCGGGACAACCCGAGGAAACUCGGGCUAAUACCGGAUGUGGUACGGAGACAUAAGUCUCUUUACUAAAGGUAGCUUCGGCUUCCGCAUUGGGAGGGGCCCGCGGCCCAUUAGCUAGUUGGUGGGGUCAAGGCCUACCAAGGCAACGAUGGUAGCUGGUCUGAGAGGACGAUCAGCCACACUGGGACUGAGACACGGCCCAGACUCCUACGGAGGCAGCAGUGGGGAAUCUUGCGCAAUGCGCGAAAGCGUGACGCAGCAAC